CCUUUGUAAAGCUAACAUCAAGGUGGAUAAUUGCAUGUUCGCCUCUUCACCACAUGGGACUUGAAUAUUGGACUGCAUUUUCGUAAUGAACGCCGCCAUUGGACUUUAAAAAUUCGUUCAACAAUUUGAAGCAGCAUAUAUAUUUUCCUGACACCAUGUCUUCCGACCGGAACCCAUCGCUUCCUCCGAUGCUCGACAUAUCUCAUCUGAAUGAAGAGGAGCGGAAAAUCAUCGAGGAUGUGCUCCGGAGGCAUAAGGAGAAAGAAGAGAAGGAGCAAGAUAUGAAACGGAGACAUCCCAUAGUGUACAGCAGUAGCUGUACUAUGGAGGUCAACGAUGCUCACGAAGAUGGCGAUAAGGUUCGACAAUCUGAGGAGCUAGACGUUCAACCAGACCCAGAGUGGCUUGCACAGUCUUGGGCAACUUUGUAAACGAGAUAGAAAACCCAACAGGAACCUAUCAAGAGCUACCAGGAUCGUCAAAUGAUGGAGAUUGGGCCGCAGAGUGUGGGAGACUCCUUGCAAGGAUGUCAAGGAAGGUAAUGAAAACAGAUGCUGCUGAGUUCGAGCGCAUAACGCAGAUUAUGAGCACACGGAUCACUUUUGCGAACUUUAGGACACUUGCAAAAUUGAUCUUUAAAGACGGUAUGUCCUUGGAAACAAUUACAGCUCUUCUUUACGCGAGCUUCUGUCUGCUCAAAGCGAUGACCGAGCGGCUUGGACUGAAGUUAGAAGACGUUGUCAUGGAAAUCGCCUCAUACAUCGUUCGUAUCUUCAAAGACAGAAUCGCUCGAUGGAUUGCAUGUCAUAUUGGCUGGGGAUCUUCAAUGCGCUACUCAGUGACGCCUGUCUAAUUCAAGAUGAUCUGUUUAAUAUUGGAAGAUGAAGCGGAUGCCAGUGUUGUGGUGACGCUGUUGAACAUUGGAAAGUAACCUCCAUCAGUGCCCAAUUGUUUAUUUACAGUAAAAACCCUAAAGUUUUUUUAAUUUUAAAAAGAAAAACAAAACAGUUUAACAUGGAUACGGUUUUAAUGUGCUUUGUAUUCUAUAUCAUCAUACAUUCUUAAUAACAAAUAUAUGCUUAUUAUGUCUUAGUUUUUGUUAGAAUUAUGCGCUUUGUUAAUAAAUCUUUUAUGGAU